rnacentral:lncRNA from 1 species
CUCAUCUUCACCUUUCUCUUCUCCAUCCUGGUCACAGGGACAACCUGGCCCAUCCUAGGAGAAGGAAGGGCAUUCCAGAUGGAAAUAACCUUAAGAGUCCACCAACAACCAGCACACCACCACAGCUGCUUCUCAGGGAGGACACGUUACUCAGCUGGGCAGCAAUGCAGAGAGUGGCUGAGAUACUAGGAGAAUAAGCUGUAGCCUGACUGGAAAAUCUUGAAGGCAAUGAUCAGAUUUUAUUUUUGAAGGCAAGGGAAAUCCCUCGCCAUUAUUUGGUGUCUUUUCUCAUUAUAAAAUACAUAUUUAGUGUUGAAAUUAAUCACCCAUAAUCUUAUCAUCUUGAGAAAACCAGUGUAAAUAUUUUGAUGUUUUUCCUUUUAG